rnacentral:rRNA from 1 species
GAGCGUUGUCCGGAAUUAUUGGGCGUAAAGAGCUCGUAGGCGGUUUGUCGCGUCUGCCGUGAAAGUCCGGGGCUCAACUCCGGAUCUGCGGUGGGUACGGGCAGACUAGAGUGCAGUAGGGGAGACUGGAAUUCCUGGUGUAGCGGUGAAAUGCGCAGAUAUCAGGAGGAACACCAAUGGCGAAGGCAGCUCGCUGGGACGGUACUGACGCUGAGACGCGAAAGCGUGGGGAGCAAACAGG